GCAGGUUCGUGUCGAACACAAUGAGACAACGGAGCCGCUUGCGGCGACGGCCCGAAGGGCGAGCGAAGCGAGCCAUCCUGCACGACCCACCA
rnacentral:sRNA from 3 species